UGGGGAAUAUUGCACAAUGGGCGCAAGCCUGAUGCAGCCAUGCCGCGUGUAUGAAGAAGGCCUUCGGGUUGUAAAGUACUUUCAGCGGGGAGGAAGGUGUUGAGGUUAAUAACCUCAGCAAUUGACGUUACCCGCAGAAGAAGCACCGGCUAACUCCGUGCCAGCAGCCGCGGUAAUACGGAGGGUGCAAGCGUUAAUCGGAAUUACUGGGCGUAAAGCGCACGCAGGCGGUUUGUCAAGUCGGAUGUGAAAUCCCCGGGCUCAACCUGGGAACUGCAUUCGAAACUGGCAGGCUAGAGUCUUGUAGAGGGGGGUAGAAUUCCAGGUGUAGCGGUGAAAUGCGUAGAGAUCUGGAGGAAUACCGGUGGCGAAGGCGGCCCCCUGGACAAAGACUGACGCUCAGGUGCGAAAGCGUGGGGAGCAAACA
rnacentral:rRNA from 1 species